CACUGAGAAUAGUCCAUUUAGAGAGGGGAACAUAACAGGAAAUUGCAGAAGGAAAGUUUUCUUCUCCACAGACUGAAUUCAGCAAAGGUGACUCUUUAACAAACUAAUUUGAUGCUUCACGAGGGGGCCAUUCCAUAGCAGUGGGAUGGAGACGAUGGCGGUGAGUCGGUGACUGACCUCCUGGUACGAGUCAGGUCUUUGCUGCGGGGGAAGUAGGAUGACAUCUCCCUUCUAGAGCUUCUCUCGCCUCCAGGUAACAGAUGCAAAGAUUCCCUCAAGCACCAGAGCCCAUGCUGGCACUCCAGGGAAUCCGGAGUGAAAACAGG